AGCAUAAUAACAGAAGCGGUAAUCUAAUUCGUGUUCAGAAAUAUAUGACAAAUUAGUUUUGUAGCACGUUCACGAUGUGAUUGCAUAAGAUACUGUGAAGGGAUAAUGCAAAAAAGAAAAUGCUCUUAUGUAGUUAGACCAAUACAAAUUAAAACUUUUGCUUUUCUGGCUUAGUGCUUUUUGCAUGUAUAUUAUGCCGCAUAAAUUUUGUACCGAAAAUUUCCAAGGUUGAUUACAUCCAAAACUUCCUGUUUGGUGUUAUAAAAAGCAACAUAUUUCUGCCGAAGGUUUGAUAUUAGAGAUGCAAGCGUUUUUACUGAUAUUUUUUAUCUACUUCAUAACAAUCAAUAAUGAAAUCUGUUACGCAGGUGCCAAGCCACGGAAAAGUAAAAACAAUGAAAAUGAUAUUCCAGAAGAAACAGGAUCGUCAGAGUUGAAAGUGCCAGGACCUGGUAAAGGACCAAGUUUGCCAACAUUGAAAAUUAAUCCAAAAGCUUCAGAACCAACUGACCCUUCUGAGACUCCAAACACCCCAGAAGAAGCAGAUGGUGAUAAUAAUGAACCAAGUUUACCAUCUUUGAAAGAGAAUGCGAAUCCUUCAGUACCUACUGAUCCCUCUGCGACUCCAAACACACCAGGACAAGAAGAUGGUUCUGGCAAUGACCAAAGUUUACCAUCGUUGAAAGGGAAUGAAAAGCCUUCAGAACCUACUGACCCCCCUGCGACUUUAAACACACCAGAAAAAGAGGAACAAGAUGAAUCCGAAACAAAUCUUUCCGAUGCUCAACAAUCCCCUCAAAAUAUACAAAAGGAGGAACAUUCGGAUUCAUAUGCUAAGUAUAUGGUAAGGCUGCCCGUUACCAUUUCAGCAUUUGUUGCCACUCUCCACUGCUACUUCCUGUAUUAAAAUGAUCAUAAUUUUUUUUGUUUUCAGUGUUUUAAAAGCUAUGAAAGGAAGUUCGAAGUAGCUAUGAAAGUUGAAAAACAGGAAAAAGCUUUAGAUGAAUUGCAGAGAUGUCUUAACAAGAAAUGCGAUGCUGACGGCGUGUGUUCUUGCAACGAGGAUGUCAACGCAUGUCUGAUACACACAAUGGCGUUGAAUGAAAACAAAAAAUGCUGGAAAGUCUGGCACAUGUGCAUGGAAGAUUUCUGUGACGAACCCCUGUGAUGGACGAUAGGAAACUGUUAAUUUUUUUGUAGAUAUAAUGACGUCUUUAAAUUUGUGUUCGUGGCAACUAUUUGUAAAGAAAAUUAAAAAAAAUAUUAAGACUAUUUUUAGAAUGAUAACAAUUUUUUAUGUGUUCAAUUGGAAUAAUCCGGUAUGUUAAUUUGUACAACAUUUUUUUCAAAAGAAAGAUUAGUAGUCGUAAAUCGGAUAUAUCGCAUUUGCUAUUUCAUGCAUCCGUAGCACGGUUGUAAAAUUGCACAAAAACAGACAAAAUACCAGUAUUGUUAAAAACAGGAUAGUCCUUAGUACAUAUUUCCCUAAUCGGUACUUCGAGCAUGAAGUAAUUAAAUUAACAACUGCGGG